AUGGUGUAACGCUCAGACGUCUGUAACAUUACACUGUCUUUAUACCACUCAUAUUUCCACUCAUAUCUCCAGUUACUGUAAGACUCAAUCACACACUUCAGAAUCACUCUCUCUCCAGUGAAUACAGGACUGUCUGGAGUCACAGUCAGUGUAGAUGUUGGUAAAUCUGUGAAGAAAUAAAAAAAUAUGAAGUGACUCAAACAGCUCUUUCAGAGAAAAAUACUUUGUAAAUUAGUUAUA
rnacentral:lncRNA from 1 species